AUUAGGGAUUAGGUGGAACAGAUGCAUGUAAGAUGCUUACUGCCUUUUCCAGACACAAGGCCACUUUCCAAUCAGCUCAGAGGAAACAGGGAGGCAGCUGAUGCCGGCCGGCUGGCUGCCAAGCAGGUCAGGCCUCUGCAGCUGAAACUGCCCGAGAUUCCUAAGCGGGAUGAUGAAUCAGCUGUGUCCUUUAGGACACAUCCUCUCUUGGACAUGUUGCCGGGAUGUCGUGUCUCCCCGCUGCUUCCCCGUGAGAGUGUGCUCAGAGCUGCUGGUUGAUGACACUGGUGGGUUGAUGAGUUUGCUUUAACUCUUCCUCCUCCCCCUCAUAAACCAGCUUUGCCUCCUGGUGAAGUUAUUGCCCCUUAAGCUGACGAUAGCAGCCCUAGAUGUCUCAGUGGAGGAGGAGUGCCAGGCUUUGAAAGAAAUGAUGCCUUGCUUGUCAUUUGCCUGCUUUUAAAAGCAUAUUAAGACAGCUUUGGCUUGAGUGCCCUGCAGGCAGGAAUUCUGAGCCAGGACAGGCUGGUUUUCACGGUGUCCAUCCCUGUUUCCAAAAAAAAGCCUUGACUCAGAGUUGCUGAGUGAAACUGCCGCAACUGGAGGCUGCUGUACCCAGGCUGCCUCGUGCCUGAUGACUCUCACAGCACAAUAGAUUUUCUUUUUUGAACCUUUAAAAGUUCUUGGGUGUGUUUACAGCUCAGUGCUUGUUCAUCCCUGAGGAGAUUUUGCUGGCUAAAGUCCUCCAAAUGUGGAGGGCUGUCCUGUCACUGUUAAGCACAGGGUAGCUGAAACAAGGUAAUGGUUAUCAGGCACUGGGGAUGGUGAUUAAGAAGCUGACUAUUGUAUUUAUUACCAUCUCCUCCCACAAGCUCCUGCCUUGCUUGUUUGCCUUCUGAGGCCCGACUGUGCUGCUGUUUAUUGGGAGAGCACUGCACUUUUCCAAGAUGUUUGGUUUCAAAACCAUCAGAAUGUCCCCAGGGCGUUUGAAAGGGGAUGUGCUGUGUCACGAAAGACAGUGUUCCCCAUGGAAGGAUUAUUUUCCCCAAGUGACAGGCUGGUUGAGCUGUAAACAUGCAAAGGAGGAUCACCAUUACAAAUGUGAGAGAGAGCAGAGAAGAGCUGACCCCAACUCAGGCAAAGAAACAAGAGAGUGUCUGGACUUCCCCAAAUGCAGGUGCUGUUCCUCACUUGGUACUCUUUCGAACGUCAUGUAGAUAAUUUUCUGAGAUUGACAUUAACCUCUUUUUAUGAGCAUGCACAAGCACCAAAUGUUGAAAUCCACUUCAGGCCUGGAUGGAAAAAUUCUGACUACGGUUUGCUGUCAGGAAAUGCUGGUUCAGCAAGAGGAAAAAGAUGUCAACUUCAACAGUAAAAAAAGGAUCAGAAAGAAACAGAAAAAAUAUGAUACCAUUGAAGAUACUCUCCUGGGGGCUUUUUGAAGCAGUGAGGUUUAUUUUUCAGUGCCCUGUUUUUAUUGUUCAUUGACAUGUAGGAUAAACACAGCCAGAGCCGAGGCUGUACCUUUUUUUUUCCCCUGUGGCUUUGCUCAGUAUAUGGUAGGUAACAGCUUCUGCAUACCCAACACAUCCUUCCCAGUACCUACCUGCAAUAACACUGGUGCUAACAGUGCAGGUAAAGUGGGAGAAACUUUUUCUGAUGUGCCAUCUUUCUUAAGGGAGAGCAAAGUGCCUCUGUGAAGCACAAAACUCCCAUGGAGGCAUGCUGGGAUCUAUCUUGGAGGUGGAUUAUCUCCUUCACUGACACCCUGCACUCCUGGCUGUGUGGGUUAACUGAUGACCUAGUAAAACCAUUGGCUCCUCUCAGGUCUUGACAUACUCCUCAUUUAUGUAGCUGUGGCUACUUAGGUCUGGUAAUUCUAAAAAUGGGGUUCUUCCUGAGCACCUAAGUCCUCACAGGAGUACAAAAUUAAAUAUGCAGGGCAGAAACAAGACAUGGAAGAAUAACCCUGUGUUGCAUAGGAAGUGUGUGUAAUUUUGGCUACUGCUCUGCAUUUUUUUAUGUCUGCCAAAUACAUGAGAUUGACAAGUAAAUAGACAAAAAUAUAUAUGUUGAAGCAAAAAAAGCUAAGAAAAACAGUAUUCUAGUGAAGUUCUGAAAACAGCUAACCAAAUAAAUCUCCCCAAAUACACAGCUUUGCUACCCAGGGUGGUUGUUUGGUUCAAGACCUUCCCAAUUAGCAUUAUAAACAUACCAAAGUGCUAUGCAUGUUUUUUGAGUAAAUCACCUAAACAGAUUAUUACUGUUGGGUAGCAAUUAAAAUGAUUGAGUAGUCUAAUCUAUGUCCUGGUGUAGUGCCAAGUAUCAGAGCUCUGAUUUAUGCAUUUCCCCCUCCUCCCCAUGUUGCUUCUGAAAUGGGACAGCGUGGGAAGCCUGGCAGCGCAUGGGACAGAACUCCUCUCAACACUGUCAGGCCACUUGCUUCCAAAUUCCCCUCCAGGAAGUGGGAUGGUGAGAGGAGAAGAGACUUGGUGCUUCCCAUCCCUGCUGAUGAAUGGAGCCAGGCUUUCUUCGGACUGCAAGUAAAUUCACUGGGCCAGAUGCUCAGGCCAAGCCCCAGGGCUGCUUGUUCCUAGGAGGGAAAGGUAGAAGAUUCCUGAGGUAGUUUUUUUUUAGUUUCUUUAUUUUGUGUUAUGGUGAAGUUCCUGUCUCGGAAGUGAUGCUUGUAUUUUAGUCUCCUUUUUCAGUGCAGAAAGCCAGAGGAUACAAGAGGGGAGCAUCAUUUUUAUGACAACAAGGAUGCAUCCUUUGCAAUUGUGACUUCCUUUGGCUGGGAUGUGGGAUGCUGUGGCCGUCCUGCUGUGUUUUCUGUCUUUAUCUGGGACAGCUGAAGUGAGUACCACAGUAACAGAUAGAUUUGUGAUGAAUGGACUGGCAGAGCCAACGUAUUUUACAGAGGUUAAUAAGAGUUUUGUAGCUGUUAUUUAUUACCAAGACAGGGAACGCCUACAUGUGUCCCUAUCUCUUACUGCAGUAGUAACGCUUGUCUUGAAAACCAGCUCAUCAGCUUUCCCCCAGGCACUCAUCUGCUUUUCCCCUCCUUACAGUUUCUCCAGGCCAUGUUGCCCAUUUACCAUUUCCCUGAACUACAAGGGACAGACUGAGUGUCUGGGAAUGUACACACAAAUCAGAUGACCCGAAACAGCCUGCAUUUUUUCUCCCGUUACUGGAUCACUCAGGUGUUCUUGCUUUGAAUCUCCCUCUUUGUUACCUACCAGGGCAUUUGUGGCUGGAAGGUUUUCGGGACAGGGGCAGUUUGACACAGCAUGCGCAGCACAGAGGAGCAGCCUGACCUGCUCACAGCUCCAUGCGCUGCUGCUCUAAUGACAACCGUGAUUUUUCAUGCCUGUUAUUGGAAGAAGAAAGUAACUGUUUGCAGUAAGCCGCAUACUAAUCAGGAGCUUCUGGGGACCUUUACCUGUUCGUUUUCUUCUCCGAGUGACUUGCAUCUGAGCGGGACACUUUGCAGCCCCGAGCCGAUGUCAGCCCUGCCGGGCUCUGGCAUUUGUCACUCACUCAGAAGACGGGAGCUCAACUUAUUCUCCCAGCUGCCAAACAUUGUUCCUGCUACAGGAGGCUUUUGGUCCCAACCUUAGAGAAGCUGUCAGUGUUCUGGCUGCUAGGCAAUGCUUCUGCCAGCCCGGGGAUGAAAAAGGAAAGACGGAGUUGUCCAAGUCUCUGGCCAGAUAACGCCUGGAUUUCACCGCCACGUGGUGCAGCUGCUCAGCAGCUUAUGCAUGCAAACGCUGUUGAAAACCAAAGGGCCAUGGGAGAAAAGGAAGAAAAGUUUUGUUUCUCCUCUCUGCUUGUUUUUUGUCAUGCUGCUGUUCUCCUGCCCGGCUCCUCAGCUAUGUGGCAGAAUCGCUGCCAUUGCAAAUGUACGUGACUAAUCUGUUACUUGAGGAAACGAUUCACAGGCAUGAAUGACCCAGGCGACCAGGAAGCUGAUGGGAUCCUGUGCUGGGAAGAGUGUUUUGGGGGUUUUGGGGGUUUGAUGUGCUUUUUUUUUUUUUUUCCUCCCCCUAGAGGGUUGCUCCCUUUGUUAACUGAUGGGAGAGAGAUACCCAUCGGAGUGCUAGAUGCACCGAUAGGGUCUCUGUUAAAGAGGUGGCCGCCCUCUUCCCAGCCCCAGGGGCAGAUGUGCUGCACCAGGACUGCACGUCCCUCUUCCUCCCCAGCCACGUGGGUGCCGUUCCCUUGCGGUGGCGCGGUGCCAUCAGCCGCAGCGUGCUCGCCGGAGUGCAGAGGCUCUGGAAGGUCUGGGUGUGAGAUCAGGGCAGAUCCUUACUCGUUCGUCUCCCAACCAGCUCAGGCAGACACCCGAGGCCGUGGGACCGGAAUGCUCUGACCUGAAUACAGCCAGGCACUAUCCCUCCCAGGCCGGUCCUCGCCUCCCUCCACCACUUCGCUUUGCUCCGUUUCAGCUGUGCAUCCUUAAGUGAUUCAGGGGCUCCGGGCCAAAGGGCUCUUUGCCCCGCUGGGCUGAUCCUGAAGAGAAGGGGUGAUGUGCCAGGAGGUCUGGGAGGCGAAUGUCAUUUCAUCACUUUUCUCCCAGGAGAGUAAUGUCCGUAGCCAGACAUAUGCUCAUGGCCUGGAAUGAAGUCGACUGCAAUUACAUCCUAAGGGAGUCACUCAACGGGGGUUUUGUGGAGGCAGGACUCAGGCUCUGGUGGAGCUGCACAUGUGCUGUUAGACCUCCAACUGCACUCGCUCUGCCUGCAGCUUUGUGGGAGCGAGGAGCAGCAGGCUCAGAAAUACAGCCAGUCUGGUGCACAUCUGGAGACAGUAAUUGGAGUGCCUGUGUCUGUGCUAGAUGAGAGCCUGUGGGGAGUUCAGGGAGUGCAGGUCUGGCCCGUGUAUCACUCUGUCCCCAGGACCAAGCUGGGAGAGUGGGUACAGAGACAUGAGCUUUCAAUACCUGCAAAUUUCCAUCUGGUUUGUUAGCAGCACUCCUCAUGAAGGGGAUUAUGAAAAGUUGGAGAUGCUACAGUGUUUCAGACUCAUUUGACUGUGGUGGUUGAGCUGAACCACUUCUGACUUGCCCUCCUGAAAGUGAACGGAGGACAAGGCUGUGCGGUGGGGCUGGUGACAACUCGGUUUCAACCUCUGCUGCAGCACCCUGGCUGAGAGGAUGGCUUUUGGCUCGUGAAGAGGAACUCUCGGAGGCUGGACCAUUUCCCCUCACACUCCCGGGUCUCUCCAAGACUGCGUGUAAUGCUCAGGAAGGCUUCUAGGGGCAAGGUGCUUUUCUGCAUCUAACAGAAAACCCUGCAAGCUCAUUAAUAAAGGCAAGAUAAAAUAAAGCUUGGAAAGUCAACAUGUUCAAGAAGAUAUGCCAUUCUGGGAAACAAGAGGAGAGGAGGUGUGUAUUUACAUGAACAAAAGAAGUCCAAACUGUAAACCGUAAUAUAUCUGUUAGCUCAUUAAUGUGUCUGAUGCUGACUAAUUCCAGGGGUGUUCCUGCUGCCCAGCAGCAAAAGUGCAAAUAAGUGGACAGCUGUGAUUUAGUGCCAAAUAUUUGAACACAUCGUGACAAUUCAGGCCACCCACUCUCUUAAGUAAAUACGACUUCUGUAGAAUCAUUUCAAACUGGGCUGAAGUGCAGAGCAGCCACUUUCAUGUGCAUCUCAGCCAAAUGGCCCUUAAGUAUUUGGGGCCAAACUGUGCCUUCUCUUACACCCUGGGAGCCCCCAUUCACUCCAGAGUUUGCACUAUGUGUAGCUGAGGGGCAGAGCUGACUCUUGAUGCUAAUCUGACUUUUUCUAGCUCAGUAAGUACAAUUUCACAUGUAAAUGUGAAUGUGGAACAGAUCUGGACUAGAUUAUCUCCUGAAUCCUUGACAAAAAGCCAUAAUUGUUUAUCCAGAUGAUGUUUCUUUCUCUCUCUUUUACUUUCUCUGCACUUUAAACCCAAGGUUUUAAUGGGCUUGUGAAAUAAAUACAUGAGUGUAGAUUACAGUGGUAUCAAAGGUGGGAAGAAAACACUUCCCUUCUCCUCAGCACAGCUAAAUGAUCAUUUGCUGCACACUUCAGUUGUGCUCUCCAGAGCCUUGGGCAGGGGUGGCUGCGGAUCUGACGGUGGGAGGGAGGGUAUUUCCAAGACAACACUUAGCCCGGGGCUCCCAUUACAGAUGUGAAGGACCUGUGAUAUAUAUCUUCUUUUUUUUCCUGGUAGGCAGUGAAAUUUGUGCUAGUGGCUAUAUCUGGGGCACAGGGUUGUUGGGGGAGGUGAAAAGCAAGGGAAUAUGGAAAAAAAAAAUUGUAUUUAUCAGGGAAAUCUAGUUUAAGAGCACAAGUACUAAAACAUUUUAAUCACAGUCAUACGGCUGUGUGUCACUGCAGGGCAGAAUUAAGGCUAUUUGUAUGCCUUGGUAGCACACUGCCACACUUCAACAAGUUUGAAUUUAUUUUAAGCAUAACUUUAACUCUGAAUUCCCUGAGUUUGUAAUGUCUGGUCUGGAAAUAAAUGCAACCUCUUUAUAUUGUACUUUACUCUUAAAA